AUUGAACGCUGGCGGCAGGCCUAACACAUGCAAGUCGAGCGGUAGAGAGGUGCUUGCACCUCUUGAGAGCGGCGGACGGGUGAGUAAUGCCUAGGAAUCUGCCUGGUAGUGGGGGAUAACGUCCGGAAACGGACGCUAAUACCGUCUACGUCCUACGGGAGAAAGCAGGGGACCUUCCGGCCUUGCGCUAGCAGAUGAGCCUAGGUCGGAUUAGCUAGUUGGUGAGGUAAUGGCUCACCAAGGCGACGAUCCGUAACUGGUCUGAGAGGAUGAUCAGUCACACUGGAACUGAGACACGGUACAGACUCCUACGGGAGGCAGCAGUGGGGAAUAUUGGACAAUGGGCGAAAGCCUGAUCCAGCCAUGCCGCGUGUGUGAAGAAGGUCUUCGGAUUGUAAAGCACUUUAAGUUGGGAGGAAGGGUUGUAGAUUAAUACUCUGCAAUUUUGACGUUACCGACAGAAUAAGCACCGGCUAACUCUGUGCCAGCCGCCGCCGUAAGAC
rnacentral:rRNA from 1 species